GCAUGGCCUAUUUCUCAGUCAAAAUGUUAUCAAAAACAGGUUUUGGUUAACUAUUUUUGUAGAAUAAGAUUGUAUUCCGAAUGAGCCGCCAUCACGCUCUGUUGAAAUUUUGGA